rnacentral:tRNA from 1 species
AGGAAUUUAGCUCAGUGGUUCUGGCAUCUGCCUCUAAAGCACAAGGUCCUGAGUUCGAUCCCCAGUACCUA